GCAUAACGCGAAGAACCUUACCUGGUCUUGACAUCCAGAGAACUUAGCAGAGAUGCUUUGGUGCCUUCGGGAACUCUGAGACAGGUGCUGCAUGGCUGUCGUCAGCUCGUGUUGUGAAAUGUUGGGUUAAGUCCCGCAACGAGCGCAACCCUUAUCCUUUGUUGCCAGCGGUUCGGCCGGGAACUCAAAGGAGACUGCCAGUGAUAAACUGGAGGAAGGUGGGGAUGACGUCAAGUCAUCAUGGCCCCUACGAGUAGGGCUACACACGUGCUACAAUGGCGUAUACAAAGAGAAGCGACCUCGCGAGAGCAAGCGGACCUCAUAAAGUACGUCGUAGUCCGGAUUGGAGUCUGCAACUCGACUCCAUGAAGUCGGAAUCGCUAGUAAUCGUAGAUCAGAAUGCUACGGUGAAUACGUUCCCGGGUCUUGUACACACCG
rnacentral:rRNA from 1 species